CACGUAGGGUGCGAGCGUUGUCCGGAAUUAUUGGGCGUAAAGAGCUCGUAGGCGGUGUGUCGCGUCGGCCGUGAAAACCUGCAGCUUAACUGUGGGCUUGCGGUCGAUACGGGCAUCACUGGAGUUCGGCAGGGGAGACUGGAAUUCCUGGUGUAGCGGUGAAAUGCGCAGAUAUCAGGAGGAACACCGGUGGCGAAGGCGGAUCUCUGGGCCGUAACUGACGCUGAGGAGCGAAAGUAUGGGGAGCGAACAGG
rnacentral:rRNA from 1 species